GACGAACGCUGGCGGCGUGCUUAACACAUGCAAGUCGAACGGAAAGGCCCUGCUUUUGUGGGGUGCUCGAGUGGCGAACGGGUGAGUAACACGUGAGUAACCUGCCCUUGACUUUGGGAUAACUUCAGGAAACUGGGGCUAAUACCGGAUAGGAGCUCCUGCUGCAUGGUGGGGGUUGGAAAGUUUCGGCGGUUGGGGAUGGACUCGCGGGUUAUCAGCUUGUUGGUGGGGUAGUGGCUUACCAAGGCUUUGACGGGUAGCCGGCCUGAGAGGGUGACCGGCCACAUUGGGACUGAGAUACGGCCCAGACUCCUACGGGAGGCAGCAGUGGGGAAUAUUGCACAAUGGGCGGAAGCCUGAUGCAGCAACGCCGCGUGCGGGAUGACGGCCUUCGGGUUGUAAACCGCUUCCGCCUGUGACGAAGCGUGAGUGACGGUAAUGGGUAAAGAAGCACCGGCUAACUACGUG
rnacentral:rRNA from 1 species